AUAUUCGAUUGGUAUUGGAGAACCUGAUCUAUAGAAACGAAUGCAUAAAAGCUUUCCAUUAGCUAAAUUAAACUUAUUAUUUGAAUAUAGUAUAGAAAGGAUUAUUAUGUUUAUACGUAUAUACGUUGAUUAUCAAGAUUCCAUUAAAUGAUCUUUCAAAAGAUAUUAGAUUAUACUUGAGAUUUCUCUCUCUCUCUCUCUCUCUCUUGUUUUUUCUUAAGAAAAACUAUUAUAUCAAAGGUAUGUAACUCAGAUAAUGGAUCUGUAAAAUUCCAGGAACGUGUUUAAACCGCGAUGAUAACCCUCUUAUAUAAUACUAAUCUAAGACAAUGUGCAUUGCAUUAAUCCAUCGCACGAAUUAGAUAAUCCAUUUGCUAUUUCCGGUGCAAUAGACGAUCUUUCGAUCGAUAUGACCUGGCAUACCCGGCACCGAUGUAGCCGGACGUGACGACAGCUUCACCAGGGCCUCGAAAUAGACAGGAUAACCUUGAGGCCCACUGAUUCGUAGAACGUUCACUGUACCACCGUUACCACGGAAGAAACAUCGAUCGUAAUAGCCCUCCGUAAGGUGCAGCGUAAGGACGAUAAUUGAAGGAUCUGCAUACGAAAUCCCUAGCAUCCGCACAUUCUCUCUCACAUUGUGCUAAGGAUGAAGCUGUUGUAUAUCUUCUAACGAAGGGUUUUCGUACUCUUGUGUGCGG